CUGCCGCCGGCCACCUAUCCGCGUUUGCAAAGACAGGAGCUUGGGGGAAAGACACUAGGACCCCGGGCGAGCAUCUUCCUACGCGCCCUCCGGCAGGAGCCGGCCAGCAGCCUAAGAAGGAGACCAGAGGCUCUGCUGGAGGCGAGCUCCCGGAGCGGAGGCCACCGAGGGCAUGAUGAACAUAAAACAGUGUUAUUUUAAUGCAGAUGAAACGAAGAUUGAAUACAUGAAAUUGAUCAUUUUUUGGUAAGUCUUGGCUAAGAUGAAAAGAAACAAAUAUAAAUGAAUCAAAAGAACAUAUGGACAAACAGUAAUAGACUGGGAUUAAAACCCGAAAUCCAGACUUGGAGUAGGAAAAGCUCAUAAGAAAAUAUCUAAUUCUUAUCACAGGUGAUCAAGAAAUCCCUUGCAGCCGGAAACAGAGAACAAGACACUGGACAGAUGUAUUUAAAGGCAUCCUAUGGCCCUAACAUGCCCAGCCAUUCCAAGCACACCAUUCCCAAAGCCUAAAACAACAGAUCUGAUUCUGUAAAUAUUGAACAAGGAUAAAUUUGUCCUAGGUCAGAUGAUACAGCUGGUUUAUAUUCAAAACAGAAAUUAAGUGGAAUCCUGGGAAAUCAGCAGAACGACACAUAAACCAGUGCUCUCACAAGAAGCUGACAAAUUAGUGUCUUAUGUGUUUCCUGGCCCUAUCCAUACAGAGAUUGGGAGAUUCUUCCCUGGAAAAUAGAACAACCCAAGGUCACUGAGAUAGACAACUGCAUAGACCAGUGUCUGGGGUUCUGCCAACGAAACAGCCUGACUUCUGGUCUCUUUCAGUAUCACGGCGAGGGCCUUGCGCACAGUAGGCCAUGCGCUAACACUGAGCUACACGGCCUCUCCUUAUGACUGUGAGUCAUCCACUGUAAAACAGUUCCUCAAGUCUCAAACUGGAUACUUAAACUGUGCAUUCUGAGACACGGGCAGCCAACGUCUCGUUCUGGUCAUGGCAAAGCAGGUUGUAUACCUCUCCUGCAUAGAAAAAUGGUGCUUUCUUGUCUACAUGCAAGUUAUUAAAAUGUUCAAAGUAACAACAAAAUCCGGGGGAAAUGUGAAUUGUGUCACCCACAGAAGAAGAAACUUUGAGUGAAUUUCAGCCUUCAUAUCUUAAAGUAUAAGGCAACAGGCAUUUCUGCAGUAGCUGGAGUGUAGAAACUGAGAAGAAAAUUGCAAAAGAAAAAAAAAUGGACCACGGUGGAGAAGUUUAGAAUCUAUACAUAAAAAAGAACAGGCUAAUCUCUUAAGAUGUGGGAAUGUGUGCAAAAUUUCAAUAAAACCAGGAAAAAAUGACAACCAGAA